GUAAGUAUAGUACAAUGGUUAGUGCCUCUGCCUUCCAAGUAGAUGAUCCCAGUUCGAGCCUGGGUACUUAUACUA
rnacentral:tRNA from 1 species